rnacentral:misc_RNA from 1 species
CACUGGUCUUUUGCGGCACCCCCUCCACCCGCCACCUAUCCUAUCCACAUGCAUCGCUGUCGUUCGCCUCCUAAUCUCAAAAAAUCAGUCGCUCAUUGGACAGCUUCGUAGCUAGUCGCUUAUCACGGAGAGCGUCCGCGAAUGUUUUGUACAAUUUGUUUCAAACAAUAGAUUGUAAACAACGCUGCCGUUUGAUGAAAGUUUAGUUGGUAGAAUCAAAUCAGGACGCGUUUAGUGAGUGAGUUCUGUUGGAUUUUAGCUUCGACGUGUUCGUUCAUGUGGCUGUUGUGUGUGUUUGCCGUUCUUUGUCCUGGCACCAGCUGAUAAGUUCCACAGCCGCUCCUGCUAUGUUGAUUAACCUGUUUCUACCCUGCUGACAGGAUGGACAGAAAUCUAGUGGACCUGAUAGACCUGGGAGAGCCGCCUCCUCUGACGGCACUCGGCGACGAUGUCAACCUUAUCGACGCCAUCCUCACGGGGAUGCUGGAGUGCGCCUCUCCCUCCUCCCCGUCGCCGGGAGGAGGAGUUGAGGAGGUGACCUUCCGAGAGGAGGAGGAUGACAGCAUCCAGGAGCUGGUGGACCAAAGUAUGCAGACUGACAUCACCUACGCCCUUGACGAAACAGACUGUCCAGAUUUCGAGUCCUGUUUACAGGACACCUCAUUGCCCGGAUUCGAAGAUAACUUUUUGUCGCUGCCCAUAGAGUUGCCUUCUGAUCUUGAUGUGCAUGAUUGCGCCAUCGGUAUAAGUGCAUCGUGUCAGGAAGGCCGUAAUGACGUCACAGCCGCAGUGACAAACGACGAGCCGCCGGGGGCGGUGGGAGGCGUGCACAGGCGCAGUGCGAGCAUGGAGGCGGCAGUGGGGGUGGCAGAAAGCGCCUCCAGAAGACGGUCUUCCAGUGCGAGCGCGACCGCCGUGAUGAGCGAUGCAGCGGCCAAGUGCAGUCCGAGUGCAUCUUCGCAGGAUGCGGCUGCAGUGUUGGAUGCAGCUGCGGUGCCCGAUGCAGUUCGCAGCUCUAGUCCGACCGCCGAUUGGCUGCGUGUGUCGAUGCGACGCGUCCGUCAUUUUCGGCUGCUGGAUCCUCACCAGCCGUCUGCGCCGCCGAUGGACUGUGAGUCUGUGGAAGACGUGCGCCCCUCGUCGGCGCCUAUGGACCGGCCACGCCAGGUGGGCCGAGCCGCGCUGCGCCGUCCCCAUAACAGCGCCAACUCGACGCCCCAGCAUCGGCCGGCCCACCAGGCGCCCGCCAUCCACAUCACUCCUUCGUCGCCCGAGGUGAACCAUCAGCACAACUGGCAACAGCACCACCUCAGCUCCGACACCAGCGACACCGAGAGUCUGCCGCCUCCCGCCGCUACCCCGCCACUCUCUGCACACCACAGCACUGUCAGGUCGUACGAGAUGCCGCAAGAUGCUUCGAGUCCGCUGGGUCAGUGGUCGCACGGUCUCAGUCCGGUGCUGGCCUGCCUUGGCUGUACGCUCGGACUCUUCAACAUCUCCAGAUUUGCCAUCUAUAGUAUGCAGUAUGGAGCUAAUUACAUAAUCCAAUUUAUUGUGAUGUCUCUGCUACUGGGAAUUCCUCUAUUCACUUUCCACUUAUCGUUAGGUCAGCUGUUAGCUUCAGGGACAAUGGAUAUGUGGAAAAUUUCUCCUAUAUUCCAGGGAAUUGGAAUAGCUAUUCUCACAUCACACGCUUUGAUAGGUAUUUAUAGUAUUAUUGGAGUCUCGUGGAUGUUCGUUUACUUCCGUGAUUCGUUCAUCACAAAACAAGACAUGUAUGGAUGGGCCGAGCCUCAUGUCUAUUACAAAGAUAGUUUUCGUCCAAUAAUUUUCAACUCAACAAACAUAAAGUUGGAAGAGACAGUUCCAGAUUAUUUCAAUGGGGUUGUGCUUCAAAGACAGAACUUGGAAACUCCAGCUGGCUCGCCGGGCCACUUGAAGUUCCAAGUCACCUUCAACUUAGUUGUUAUAUGGAUGAUUAUUUUCAUCUGCUUGAGCAAAGGUUUAAAAUCCUACGGGAAAGUAGUCUACAUUUUCUCCUUAGUUCCGGUCUUCGGAAUGUUCGUAUUAUGUUCGAAAUUAUUAGGGCUGAUGCCAAUCAAUAGGUUAGAAAUAGCGUUUCCUCAGACAGACUGGAGUGAAUUUUUCCUAAAUACGAAGAGCUGGAUGGCAGCGAGCAGCGAGGCUUUCUUCACAUGGGGCGUGCUGGGAGCGGCAGCCAUGCAGAUCACGUCGCACAACCGCCCCAAGCACCUGCUGCAUCGGGACACCGCCCUCGUCAUAGUGCUCACCCUGGCCGUGCUCCUCCUCGCCGCCUUCCUCGCCAACAUGUGUUCGCAGCUCCUGUUCGUGCGCGGCUUCCUAUAUGUUCCUAGUUCUUUCGAACGCAUGUCAACUUACGGCUUCCUGCAGCCGAUCAAACCGCAGCCUCCACACUCGAGCAUCCCGGUGCGGUGGAUGACGCACGUGCCUUUCCUGGUGGGCGACCGCGUGCUCAAGCACGGCUCCUAUCAGAGCGGCUACCAGGUGCUGCGACUGGCCACCGAACUCGUGCCCGCUACGCUCGCCGUCGUCGGCCCCCACCGCCUCUCGCCCUUCUGGUCCGUCCUCUUCUACUUCGUGCUCAUACUAUUCGGCAUCGCUCAACAGUUGGCGAUAUGGCAUUGCCUCAUCACUGGUAUUAUGGCGAUCAAUGUGAAAUAUUUAAAACUAUGGGAAACGACAAUCACAUUCUUCACAUGUCUUUGUGGUUUCAUUCUUGGUCUUCCAAUGGCAACUGAGUUGGGCAUAUUCGUGGUGUACUUCAUUGACUACGUGGUGGGUGGUGGCUGGUGGAUGAUGCUGCUCUACGUGGUGGAGCUGACGGCGGUGUUCAUGGUGCGCGGUCGCCCAUACAGUGGCGAGACCAUCGUGGCGACGCUAUUCUCCCGCGCCGGCUCAUUCAUGCAGUGCUGGGUGGCGCCACUUCUCGCUUUCACCUGGAACGUCAUUCUUCCAACACUGCUCUUGGUGAUGUGCAUAACGUUCUUCAAGAAUGGCCAGUUUCGUUACUUUUUCAAGUGGUCGAUACCAAAUACAUACGAGUAUUGGCCGGACUGGGCUAGACAACUGGGGGCCAUGUUUCAAAUAAUUCCAUUAUUCACCAUACCCUUCAUCGCCAUCAUUCAAGCAUGCAGAUAUUUAUCAACAGGUCCUCCAGACAUUUUUGAUCGAAUCCAACUGCUGUAUCGUCCUCAGCUGCAUACGGGGUCCGACUUCCGUGAUGUGGAGAUUUCGGCGCCGCAGCCCACCUCUGAUCCGGAUUCGGCCAAUCAGAACGCAGACGCCAUCCAGGAUCCACCACCAAAGUACACUCCACCUCCCUCUUAUUCUACUGCCACUGGUGCUAGAAUCGCCAAGCUGUUCCGACAGAGCUUUCGUAGAAGCAUGCGCCGGAUACAACACGCAUUCAACAGCAACGAAGAGACAAGUUCGCCCUCCACUCUGGACAGGGUACAGGUGCAGUCAGUGCCUCCCCCUCCCGAAUACUCGGCCGUGCUAGUCGAGAUCAACAGGAGCAGCUCAGCCGGAGGAGGAGGAGGGGGUGCCUCCUCAGAAACAGCACCUCCUCAAAUGGCUAGUAGUGAGAUGACCGCCUGUGAGGUGGCGACCAUUUUGAGGAGUAGCUUCAGGCGAGCCGUGAGGGACAGCGCGAGCUCUGAGCAACUGGUUGAUGCCGCUCUGCCCAUCAGUAGGGAUCUGGUGAUCGCUGGUGCCCCACAUAAACCAAACAACCAACCAUGAGUGUUUGUCGGUCCACAUAAACCCAACAACCAACCAUGAGUGUUUGUCGGUUCACAUAAACCCAACAACCAACCAUGAGUGUUUGUCGGUCCACAUAAACCUAACUAGCAACCAUGAGUGGUGAGCCACUGCCCCUAGACCAUUAAUAAGUUGACUUGUAAUUUCACUUGACAUGCCGACCUUCAUAAUAAUAUUGAUAUACCACAGUGUACUAUACUGAUAGUUUUAAAUUACAAAUUGCCUUAAAUUUUUCAACCACGUCUUGAAGUCUCUGAGAGGUUGUGUAAGACAGUACGGUUUACAAUAUUAUCAUUAUACAUUCGCAUAAAUACAGACUGACACAGAUAAAACCUGAAACAGGGUUUCCUUGCGACAACCUGUACAAUAGUCAAAGUCAUCACAAACCUAGCGACGCGUAGCUAAAAAUACGUCUUUGGGUAACGUAGCCGUCCUCUCUCCCAAUACAACACAGAAGUACUCUAUUUUCAAUAAUCCACGCCACGCAAUCUGUCCCGUUGACACCAGCGUAGCGUAGCUUUCAACAUUAUUUGGAGAUAGGACGGAUACGACUUUCGAAGACUUAAUAUCUUCAUACAUGUAGCUAGUUGUAUGGCGACCUUUAUCACUGUUUAAUUGAGUUUUAAUCUGAAAGAAACUCUUGUAUACUCAACUAUAAAAGUUUCCAUCAAUUGGGCUUUUAUUUUUCAUGGUAACUGUUUAGGAUAAAUGUUCAAAUAAUUCGAUAUUACACCUCUAUUUUCAAUAAUCAAGCACAAUAUAAAACCGUACUCUCUCUAAAGGGCUUUGUUAAGUUAUGUGGUCCAAUCUGUGUAAGUUCUGCCUCAUUUAAAGUCAGCCCUUGUAAAUAAAAUGCAACUAAUCAACUUGAAUAAAUGGUUAUAUAGUUAGAGACCAAAUAUAAAGAGGUUGGUCAGUUCAAAACGUCUGUGAUACAGUCAUGUUUGGAUGCUAUGCUAUGUGUGAAAGGUAAUAUUAGCUUAUCAAAUUUAUUAUAUGAACUCUCAAAAAUUCCGGUUUGUGUUGACUAGUGGAGAAAAUGCCUGAUAAGUUAUUUUUACUAUUUACAUUUUAAACUACUUUUAAAGACCGAGAACCAAUAUUAUUAUUUUAGUUCUGCAUGGAUCUUUUCCAUCUUCUUAAACAGUCCUUCUUUACUUUAGUUUUCUAGAGUAAUAUGCCCCAUUAUCAUAAACUGUAUGUUCUCUGUAAACAAGAAAUAUUAAUUUAUGAGAACUAGUUUGUUUGGACACUUUUACCAACAAUGGACGCAAAGCUGUGGAGAUG